rnacentral:misc_RNA from 1 species
UAACAAGGUUUCCGUAGGUGAACCUGCGGAAGGAUCAUUAAUAAUGCCCUCUGACGCAAGUCAUUGGGUUAGAUCUGCUCUCUUCGCAAGAAGAGGGUUUCCAUACACACCGUGAACUGUGGCUUCGGCCAUCACAAACUGUUAGUAAUGAAUGUAAUAUCAUAACAAAAACAAAACUUUUAACAACGGAUCUCUUGGCUCUCGCAUCGAUGAAGAACGCAGCGA